rnacentral:rRNA from 1 species
UACAGGGGGUGCAAGCGUUAUCCGGAUUCACUGGGUUUAAAGGGUGCGUAGGUGGGUUGGUAAGUCAGUGGUGAAAUCUCCGAGCUUAACUUGGAAACUGCCAUUGAUACUAUCAGUCUUGAAUAUUGUGGAGGUCAGCGGAAUAUGUCAUGUAGCGGUGAAAUGCUUAGAUAUGACAUAGAACACCAAUUGCGAAGGCAGCUGGCUACGCAUAUAUUGACACUGAGGCACGAAAGCGUGGGGAUCAAACAGG